rnacentral:lncRNA from 1 species
CAAAGAUUAGCAUUAAAAAGAAUCCAAGUACUUUACAAUAGGACAAUGGAAAAGAUGCCCUGAAGACAUAUAAGGAACCCACAAGGCCCAACCUUUCCAAGGCUCACAGUUGCAAAAGGGAAAGACUUUGUUUUGAGAGGAGAGCCCCAGGGCACCCUGCUUGAGAAGGGCCACCUCGGCCGGGUUCCCUGGGAUUCAUUCAGUUCACGGUGCUCAGCCAUCCAGGCCCAUGGAUGCUUCUGCAGCCACGAUGCACAAAGGCCUAAGGACUGCUUGGAGCCAGUGGUAGAACUUUGUGUCAUCUGCAGGGUGCUGUUUUCACGGGUAUGCAGAACGCAAGAGUUGAGUCAGGAAGGCUUCCACCCAAAUUUCAAAAGAAGGCCUGGCAGGCCAGGCUGGGUGUCCCUGAGAGGGCAGUGCAUGCAGCUGUGAGAGUUAAGCCGAAGGUGCACUGGAGAACGCAGGAUGAGGGUGCAGUCAGGAACAUGGAACACCUGCGGAAAGCCACGCACCCAAACAUGUAACCCUCAUCUAAUCAGGAAGGAGACAUCGGGAAAACUUAAAUUGAGGGACAUUCUAUAAGAUAUCAGCUCAGUCAUCCUCCAAACUGUCAGCUCAUACAAAACGAAAAAAGGAAAAAUUGUGAAAACAUCAGUCAAGAGGCGUCUGAGGGAUGCAACGAUGAAAUGCAAUGUGGCAGCCCGGACGGGACUGCAGAUUGUUGUGGAGAGCAAGUGGUGAAGGUUUUUCUCUCCUUUGGUACCGGGGAUUGAACUCAGGACCUUGUGGUGGUGAGGCGGGCAUGGUGCCACUGAGCUGAAUCCCUGGCCCUUCAAGCUCUGUUAUGUACACGUAGCCACUCCCCAAGUGAUUGUGAACUGCACAACAAAAAUAAACAACAGUGUAAACAGCAGGCCUACUUUCUAACACUGAAUCUCCCACCCUCAGCCAUAAUACAACCCUAAAUGUAUUCCUAAACCUCAACCAAAUUCCAACAAAAGCCGCAACCCAAACUGCACCUUGCCCCUUGGUCCUAAGCCACUUCCUCACCCUAAAUGUAGCGAAAUUGUGAGGAUGCGACCUCACUUGCUUGGUAUUAGAACCCAGCGAAACUGGGUGCCCUUCGGAAUCUGUCUCCCAUCCUGACCCCUUGGAGGGAGACAGAGAAGAGGGGAGGACGAGCUGUUGUCAUUUUCCCGCUCUCCGACGGUCUAGCCACAGAAAGGACCGCCAUCCGAGCCUUUUCCGACCUUGGCUCAGCUCUGGCCACAGGUGUUUCCAGCUAAUGUUCAGGAGGAACCCACAUGUGAGAGAGGCAGUGCAGUGCCCGUCCUGGACGUCCGCGC